CUUCUCUCUCCUCUCCUUCCCUCUCUUCUUCUUCUUCCUUUCUCCGGCGAUCGGCCGGCGACGUCCCAAGCAGUUCCCCACCCGGCCGGCGACCCUCCGGCGACGGCCAGACCACCAGAAACGGCGGCAAGAGAGGGAGAAGAGAGAGAAAACGCGCGCACAGUGGGCAGCGGCUUUCCGGCACGAUUCCGGCUUCGUCCGACGUUCGAUCGAGGCGAUUCCGGUGGCGUUAGAAAGCUUGUUCCGAGAGCUUUCUUUUGACACCAAUUUUGAAGCAAAUGGAGGUCGGAUGAGUGAGAUAUGGAAGAGAGAAAUUUCGGGUUUUUCAAGCUUUUUCGUCAGAUCUACGACGAUCCGACUGUUGGAUCGACGAUCUGAGACCACAUAUGGACUGAGGAAGAGGAGAGGAACAUGGUGGUAUGAUCAGAUCCGGCAAAUAUCGCCGGCGACCGGCGGCCGGCCACCGUGCGUGGUGGUUCCGGCGGUGGCUCCGGUGGGCUAUGGAGAUAAUUCAACUUCCAGAGGCUUCCUCAUAAAUUUUUGGAAUUUUUGAGACACAUAUAAACUUCGGGUGAUCGAGGUCAGCUAUUUUCCUGCAUCCAACAGCCACAAUAGUCAUCGGUGUACUGCUACAGGAGGAGACAUUUUUUUUGAAUAACUUGUCCCUUUUCUCUCAGGUUAUGAAAAGAUUACUUAAUUGUAUUAUUAUUCUCUAAAUUUGUAAUUUAGGACUCAGCAUGUGCUAGUAGUAGCAUUAAGCCUGUCAGGG